CCUACGGGGGGCAGCAGUGAGGAAUAUUGGUCAAUGGACGGAAGUCUGAACCAGCCAUGCCGCGUGCAGGAAGACGGCUCUAUGAGUUGUAAACUGCUUUUGUACAAGGGUAAACCUGAAUACGUGUAUUCAGCUGAAAGUACUGUACGAAUAAGGAUCGGCUAACUCCGUGCCAGCAGCCGCGGUAAUACGGAGGAUCCAAGCGUUAUCCGGAUUUAUUGGGUUUAAAGGGUGCGUAGGCGGAUUGAUAAGUUAGAGGUGAAAUGUCCGAGCUUAACUCGGGAACUGCCUCUAAUACUGUUGAUCUAGAGAGUAGAUGCGGUAGGCGGAAUGUAUGGUGUAGCGGUGAAAUGCUUAGAGAUCAUACAGAACACCGAUUGCGAAGGCAGCCUACCAAUCUAUAUCUGACGUUGAGGCACGAAAGCGUGGGGAGUAAACAGGAUUAGAUACCCUAGUAGUC
rnacentral:rRNA from 1 species